rnacentral:rRNA from 1 species
GAACGCGAAGAACCUUACCAGGUCUUGACAUCCCUCUGACCGCUCUAGAGAUAGAGUUUUCCUUCGGGACAGAGGUGACAGGUGCUGCAUGGUUGUCGUCAGCUCGUGCCGUGAGGUGUCGGCUUAAGUGCCAUAACGAGCGCAACCCUUUUCCUUGGUUGCCAUCAGGUAAUGCUGGGCACUCCAGGGAUACUGCCAUCGUAAGAUGUGAGGAAGGUGGGGAUGACGUCAAAUCAGCACGGCCCUUACGUCCGGGGCUACACACGCGUUACAAUGGGGGGUACAGAAGGUCGCUACCUGGUGACAGGAUGCUAAUCUCCAAAACCUCUCUCAGUUCGGAUUGGAGUCUGCAACCCGACUCCAUGAAGCUGGAUUCGCUAGUAAUCGCGCAUCAGCCAUGGCGCGGUGAAUACGUUCCCGGGUCUUGUACACACC